rnacentral:rRNA from 1 species
UUCGGAUUGUAGUCUGCAACCCGACUACAUGAAGCUGGAAUCGCUAGUAAUCGCGGAUCAGAAUGCCGCGGUGAAUACGUUCCCGGGUCUUGUACACACCGCCCGUCACACCAUGGGAGUCGGAAAUGCCCGAAGUCUGUGACCCAACCUUAGGGAGGGAGCAGCCGAAGGCAGGUCGGAUGACUGGGGUGAAGUCGUAACAAGGUACC